rnacentral:rRNA from 1 species
UACAGAGGUCUCAAGCGUUGUUCGGAUUCAUUGGGCGUAAAGGGUGCGUAGGUGGCGCGGUAAGUCGGGUGUGAAAUCUCGGAGCUUAACUCCGAAACUGCAUUCGAUACUGCCGUGCUUGAGGACUGGAGAGGAGACUGGAAUUUACGGUGUAGCGGUGAAAUGCGUAGAGAUCGUAAGGAAGACCAGUGGCGAAGGCGGGUCUCUGGACAGUUCCUGACACUGAGGCACGAAAGGCCAGGGGAGCAAACGGG